rnacentral:rRNA from 1 species
GUAAGGAAUAUUGGUCAAUGGGCGGAAGCCUGAACCAGCCAUGCCGCGUGCAGGAAGACGGCCCUAUGGGUUGUAAACUGCUUUUAUACGGGAGCAAUAAGGUCUAUGCAUAGAUUGAUGAGAGUACCGUAUGAAUAAGCAUCGGCUAACUCCGUGCCAGCAGCCGCGGUAAUACGGAGGAUGCGAGCGUUAUCCGGAUUUAUUGGGUUUAAAGGGUGCGUAGGCGGCUUUGUAAGUCAGCGGUGAAAUUUUGCAGCUUAACUGUAAAAGCGCCGUUGAUACUGUGAAGCUAGGAUUUGGUUGCUGUGGGCGGAAUGUGUGGUGUAGCGGUGAAAUGCAUAGAGAUCACACAGAAUAUCGAUUGCGAAGGCAGCUCACAAAGCCAAUAUUGACGCUGAGGCACGAAAGUGUGGGGAUCAAACAGGAUUAGAAACCCUUGUAGUCC